rnacentral:lncRNA from 1 species
CCGAAGUUUACUCUAGGAGGUUGUACAUAAUAAAUACUCGCCCAAUCAGAAUUAAUACUAGUAUCUAGAAUUCUAUAUAUCAAAUGAAGUACUGCUGGUUCUUUAAUAUUGCAGCUGCAAGUUCCACACCUUGUAACUAGGUAGCUUGACAAUCACAUAAUUCACAAGGGAAUGGGAAGGUAGUUGACUCCACCACAGUGCUGCCAUGGAUUUUUUAUUUUUUAUUUAUUUUUAAAUUUUUGGGUUCUUCUUGUUCAGAGGCAGAACUUGAGGAUGAUAUAGCAUUUGGAGGGCUGGAAAGGGUGGACAACCAUUUGAGUGAAACUGGGACUAGCAGGCUUAAGUUUUGUUCUUUCCCCAAACCAAUAUUCUUUUACUCAAAAUGAAGUGGGGAAGUAUGAAGCAUAUAUAACCUCCAUCCAGACUGUGAUUGACUAUUAGGUAUCCAUUAGGGUGUUGCACCAAGAGGUAAACCAUGCUUAGUUUUGACCACCCCAGUGAGCUAGUUGAUGAAAUUGAUCACUUCUGAAAUUUAUAUCUACCAGCAAAAUUGCAUGUUAAUGUGAAUCAGAACCAAGUUGGAAAUUGGGAUAUGGUGUCGGCUGUGAGGAGCAAUAAUGUUUAUUGUUGUUGGUGCUUGAAAACAACAAGCAUAGUGAAUGAGAAGAGAAUCUGGAAAAGCAAAGAUUACAGAAUGACUUCGCUUUUCUGUUACUGAUGUGUUUGGGGGAUUCAGGGAAACCAAAACCUGCUAUAUCAUCAGUUGGAUAGUAGCUGAAUUUUAAAACAUAGAGAGGGAGAUGUCAGGGGGAUAAACAGAUGAAGUGAUGAUAUAUGAAGCACCAACAACAUAAAAGCUGGGAUGAUGUAAUAUGUAUGGCAUGAAUUCUUGGUAUAGAGCUGUGGUUUGUUGGGAUAGAACAAGUUUAUUAUUUUUAAAUCAAUAAAAAUGAAUUGUAGAUGAAGGGUUCAUCAGUUCAUCUUAUCAUUUGCAAAAAUUCCAAAAAGUCACUGCAAAAUCUCAAAUAUUUUUAAUGAUUUUUCAGUGCAGAAGUCUUGGUUCAUCUUACAUGACCAUUAACCUGCCUCCCACAUUAAGAAUGACACCCCUUAAACAGUGCUUCAGUUUCAUAUGUCAAGUUGUUAAUUAGCU